ACGCUGGCGGCACGCCUAACACAUGCAAGUCGAACGAAGUAGCAAUACUUAGUGGCAGACGGGUGAGUAACAUGUAGGUAUCUGCCCUUUGGCCUGGAAUAACACGAGGAAACUUGUGCUAAUACCGGAUAAGUCUUUACGGAGAAAGCUUUAUGCACCAUUGGAUGAGCCUGCACUUGAUUAGUUUGUUGGUGGGGUAAUGGCCUACCAAGACUUUGAUCAAUAGCUGAUUUGAGAGGAUGAUCAGCCACAUUGGGACUGAGACACGGCCCAAACUCCUACGGGAGGCAGCAGUGGGGAAUCUUGCACAAUGGAGGAAACUCUGAUGCAGCGAUGCCGCGUGAGUGAAGAAGGCCCUUGGGUUGUAAAGCUCUUUCGUCGGGGAAGAAAAUGACUGUACCCGAAUAAGAAGGUCCGGCUAACUUCGUGCCAGCAGCCGCGGUAAUACGAAGGGACCUAGCGUAGUUCGGAAUUACUGGGCUUAAAGAGUUCGUAGGUGGUUGAAAAAGUUGGUGGUGAAAUCCCAGAGCUUAACUCUGGAACUGCCAUCAAAACUUUUCAGCUAGAGUUUGAUAGAGGAAAGCAGAAUUUCUAGUGUAGAGGUGAAAUUCGUAGAUAUUAGAAAGAAUACCAAUUGCGAAGGCAGCUUUCUGGAUCAUUACUGACACUGAGGAACGAAAGCAUGGGUAGCGAAGAGGAUUAGAUACCCUCGUAGUCCAUGCCGUAAACGAUGUGUGUUAGACGUUGGAAAUUUAUUUUCAGUGUCGCAGCGAAAGCGAUAAACACACCGCCUGGGGAGUACGACCGCAAGGUUAAAACUCAAAUGAAUUGACGGGGACCCGCACAAGUAGUGGAGCAUGUGGUUUAAUUCGAAGAUACGCGCAGAACCUUACCAACACUUGACAUGUUCGUCGCGACUCUAAGAGAUUAGAGUUUUCGGUUCGGCCGGACGAAACACAGGUGCUGCAUGGCUGUCGUCAGCUCGUGUCGUGAGAUGUUGGGUUAAGUCCCGCAACGAGCGCAACCCUCACUUUUAGUUGCCAUCAUUAAGUUGGGCACUCUGAAAGAACUGCCAGUGAUAAGCUGGAGGAAGGUGGGGAUGACGUCAAGUCCUCAUGGCCCUUACGUGUUGGGCUACACACGUGCUACAAUGGUAUCUACAACAGGAAGCAAGGCGGCGACGUCAAGCAAAUCCUUAAAAGAUACCUCAGUUCGGAUUGCACUCUGCAACUCGAGUGCAUGAAGCUGGAAUUACUAGUAAUCGUGGAUCAGCGUGCCACGGUGAAUGCGUUCCCGGGUCUUGUACUCACCGCCCGUC
rnacentral:rRNA from 1 species